UCCUACGGGAGGCAGCAGUGGGGAAUAUUGCACAAUGGGCGCAAGCCUGAUGCAGCCAUGCCGCGUGUAUGAAGAAGGCCUUCGGGUUGUAAAGUACUUUCAGCGGGGAGGAAGGCGGUGAGGUUAAUACCUCACCGAUGACGUACCGCAGAGAGCCCCGACUU
rnacentral:rRNA from 1 species